rnacentral:rRNA from 1 species
GACGAACGCUGGCGGCGUGCCUAAUACAUGCAAGUAGAACGCACAGUUUAUACCGUAGCUUGCUACACCAAAGACUGUGAGUUGCGAACGGGUGAGUAACGCGUAGGUAACCUGCCUGGUAGCGGGGGAUAACUAUUGGAAACGAUAGCUAAUACCGCAUAAUAUUGAUUAUUGCAUGAUAAUUGAUUGAAAGAUGCUAUUGCAUCACUACCAGAUGGACCUGCGUUGUAUUAGCUAGUAGGUGAGGUAACGGCUCACCUAGGCGACGAUACAUAGCCGACCUGCGAGGGUGCUCGGCCACACUGGGACUGGAACACGGCCCAGAAUCCUACGGGAGGCAGCAGUAGGGAAUCUUCGGCAAUGGACGAAAGUCUGACCGAGCAACGCCGCGGGAGUGAAGAAGGUUUUCGGAUCGUAAAGCUCUGUUGUAAGAGAAGAACGGGUGUGAGAGUGGAAAGUUCACACUGUGACGGUAUCUUACCAGAAAGGGACGGCUAACUACGUG